GAAAGUGUCUUGCCCUCACUGGAUGAAAAUGAAGCAUGAAAAACAGGUUUUCUGUAACUGGCUCUGGGAAGAUGGAGGAAAAGUCUCAUGAAGCAGAAUUAUUUCCAAAGGGUCUGGACUCCGAAUCACUUUAAGAGUCUAAAAGACUGCAAGUUGAUAUGGGGAACUGCAACCUAGAGUAAUGGAUUCUAGAGGCUUCAGGGCAAUGCGUGAGUAGGAUUGAGCAGGGCAUUUGGAAGAUGGAAAUGGACUACACACCCUUCGUUUUAUAGGGGUGUGAAAUGAAAUUAAGAGAUGAAGAACUCAUGGUUCCAGGAGGGAUGUGGAGCUGUUUAUCAGCUAUAAGAAUUUCCAACCCUAUGGCACUGGAUGGCUUCUGUUUCACCAGGCAGCCGAAGUUUGGAAAAAGCAGAGUUCAGAAAACAAAGAAAGAAGUUUCCAGCUAUUAGGAUUAAAGAUGGGGAAACUGAGACUCCAGAAGAGAAGAGGACUACAUCUGUUACCUUCUGGUCCACUUCCUGGCUAGUACCACUCAACUCUCCUGCUACUCUUCAUUGGUCAGUUUUUUGGAAAUCUAAAACAAUAUUAAAGAAGGAAUGAGGAGGAAAGUGGAUUUGCUUUAUGGAAUCAAUGGUUCAUGAAAUAAUAAAGUAUAAACAUAAUGUUUGUAAAUGAGACCAUAUUUCAAAUACCCAUGGUUGCUGGAUGUAUAAUGGCAUCCUCUUAUACAUUUUGAUAUAAAGAGUGUCAAAUUGAUUGUUUUUGUAAAUUUUUAUUCCCUCUUUUGUCAGUUGGGACUGCUUCUAAGUGAGACCUAGCUGCUGCUUUAGUAAGGCUGGAUGGUCGUGCCUCUGUGUCACUCCAAGUAAAAAUGGUUUAGGCAGAUUGUCUGCUUCUUUGAUUUCCUGAAGCUUUGACCUUCUCUCUCUCUCUCUCUCUCUCUCUCUC
rnacentral:lncRNA from 1 species